rnacentral:misc_RNA from 1 species
GAGAGAGAGAGAGAGAGAGAUGUUGCUAUUAACAUUCUAUUUGCUGUCCACGCGUUGCAUCCUAUCCACACUUACACAGCUGCUAGUAGGAAUGCAUAAUCUUGAUUGCUAACUAAGUAAAUAACCAAAUGACAGUUUCUGAUUGGUAUAGUAAAUCUUAACAUUAUAAUUUACUUCUCAUUGAUUUCUUAAAGCAAGAAAAAUAAAAUCAGUUGCCCCAUGUAGAAUUAUUAGGAGAUGGAGCCUAAAUUUGUCAUAUGAUUCGCAUGGACAGAGUAAAAAAAUUAAAUUCAGUAGAACAUAGUUUUCCUUCUCUUUUUUCCCCGUCUUAAGUUUCUGAGCAACUACAGAGAUAUUGAUUAUGAACAUAAAGCCAAUCAAUAAAAUAAAUAAAUAAAUAAAU